AGAGUUUGAUCAUGGCUCAGGACGAACGCUGGCGACGUGCCUAAUACAUGCAAGUCGAACGCAAGCAGCAAUGCUUGAGUGGCGUCCGGGUGAGUAACACGUAGCUGAUCUGCCCUAAACAGGGGAAUAACUGCGCGAAAGCGCAGCUAAUACCGCGUACGCUCCUCAGGAUUAGAAGCUGGGGAGGAAAGGCUUUCGGGCCGGUUUAGGAGGAGGCUGCGGGCCAUCAGCUAGUUGGUGGGGUAAAGGCCUACCAAGGCAACGACGGAUCGGGGACCUGAGAGGGUGACCCCCCCCACUGGGACUGACACCCGGUCCAGAACCCUACGGGAGGCAGCAGUAAGGGAUAUUGCACCAUGGGCGCAAGCCUGAUGCCGCCACGCCGCGUGCGGGAUGAAGGGCUUCGGCUCGUAAACCGCUUUUGUCGGGGACGAGGAAGGACGGUACCCGACGAAGAAGUCUCGGCUAACUACGUGCCAGCAGCCGCGGUAAUAC
rnacentral:rRNA from 1 species